UAAUCUUACAAUACACAAAAUAUUCAUGAGAAACAAUUGGUCAACUAUAAAAUCUAAGGAAACCGAUAUGCAAUUUGUGAGCCAUUCACAAACUGUAAAUGUGUAUGUGAUGAAACAAAGUAAGAGGAGUGAUAAAAACCUACUGUUAAUUUUCAUUUAUCAAAACUAAUCUCUUUCAAAUUUAAUGUUUAAUAAAAUGAUGACUCUUUCUACAAAAAAAAAUGCAGUCAAAUUGAAU
rnacentral:lncRNA from 1 species